rnacentral:lncRNA from 1 species
GAUCCUGGUGCUGGCCGGGACUAUGGUGGUACACAAGGUUAUAAUCAACAGCCCUUAACACGCUGGAGUGCUGGGCAAGGACAGCAGAGCUACAAUCCUGAGCCUUCAAGGCAAUGGCGUUCUGCACAACAAGGCUACACCUCUGCUGAACCCUCAAGGCAAUGGAGUUCAGCGCGUCAGAGCUACACCUCUGCUGAGCCGUCAAGGCAGUGGAGCUCCGAGCCUAAAAGCUACAAUGUUGAAUCCUCGAGGUCUUGGAAUUUGGGCCAACAGGGCCAGAACCCGGAGGGAUCGAGGCAAUGGAACCUGGGGAAGCAAGAUGCUUACAACCCGAGUGAUGGUCGAAGAUCGUAUGAGCCUCAAAGCUACAAUGUUGAAUCCUCGAGGUCUUGGAAUUCGGGCCAGCAGGGCCAGAACCCGGAGGCAUCGAGGCAAUGGAACCUGGGGAAGCAAGAUGCUUACAACCCGAGUGAUGGUCGAAGAUCGUAUGAUCAGCACUGGAGGAGAUAGCAAGAGUUGUAUAUUAGCUGGGUCCUGGAGGCGGUUCUUGGGAGAUUUUCUUUCAUUUGAUGUUAGGCCUGUUUGAUUCGU